rnacentral:rRNA from 1 species
UACGUAGGGGGCAAGCGUUAUCCGGAUUUACUGGGUGUAAAGGGAGCGUAGGUGGCAUGGUAAGCCAGAAGUGAAAACCCAGGGCUCAACUCUGUGGGUUGCUUUUGGAACUAUCAAGCUAGAGUGCUGGAGGGGUAAGCGGAAUUCCUAGUGUAGCGGUGAAAUGCGUAGAUAUUAGGAGGAACACCGGUGGCGAAGGCGGCUUACUGGACAGAAACUGACACUGAGGCUCGAAAGCGUGGGGAGCAAACAGG